UGCGGGUGCUUACCAUGCAGUCGAACGAGAAAGUGGUCUUCGGACCGCAAGUAGAGUGGCGCACGGGUGAGUAACGCGUAGGUAAUCUACCCUUAUAUCUGGGAUAACAUUGGGAAACUGGUGCUAAUACCGGAUACACUUUACUGCUGCGGGGCAGUAGAGGAAAGGUGGCCUCUUGGUCAAAGCUACCGUAUAGGGAUGAGCCUGCGUACCAUUAGCUAGUAGGUGGGGUAACGGCCCACCUAGGCGACGAUGGUUAGCGGGUCUGAGAGGAUGAUCCGCCACACUGGAACUGGAACACGGACCAGACUCCUACGGGAGGCAGCAGUGAGGAAUAUUGCGCAAUGGGGGAAACCCUGACGCAGCGACGCCGCGUGAGUGAGGAAGGCCUUCGGGUCGUAAAGCUCUGUCAGAAGGGAAGAAGUGUUAGAUGGUUAAUACCCAUGUAAUUUGACGGUACCUUCAGAGGAAGCACCGGCUAACUCCGUGCCAGCAGCCGCGGUAAUACGGAGGGUGCUAGCGUUGUUCGGAAUUACUGGGCGUAAAGGGCGCGUAGGCGGCUGGAUAAGUCAGAUGUGAAAGCCCACGGCUUAACUGUGGAAGUGCAUUUGAAACUGUCCGGCUUGAGUAUCGGAGGGGAGUGUGGAAUUCCCGGUGUAGAGGUGAAAUUCGUAGAGAUCGGGAGGAACACCGGUGGCGAAGGCGACACUCUGGACGAAUACUGACGCUGAGGCGCGAAAGCGUGGGGAGCAAACAGGAUUAGAUACCCUGGUAGUCCACGCCGUAAACGAUGUGAACUAGAGGUAGGUGGUGUUGAUCCCAUCUGUCUCGCAGCUAACGCAUUAAGUUCACCGCCUGGGGAGUACGGUCGCAAGAUUAAAACUCAAAGGAAUUGACGGGGGCCCGCACAAGCGGUGGAGUAUGUGGUUUAAUUCGACGCAACGCGAAGAACCUUACCUGGGCUUGACAUCCCGAGAAUCUUCUGGAAACAGAGAGUGCGUCAUUAGAUGAACUUGGUGACAGUGCUGCAUGCUGUCGUCAGCUCGUGUCGUGAGAUGUUGGUUAAGUCCCGCAACGAGCGGCAUCCCNNNUUUAGUUGCUAGCAGUUCGCUGACACUCUAAAGACUGCCGGAUGUAANACGGAAGGAAAGGUGGGANNUGACUC
rnacentral:rRNA from 1 species